AGCUCCGGAGAAUUCCGACAACAUCGGAUGCCGAAGGUGCAAGGGGGCGCGCGUCCCCGAAUCUCUCAGGCCAAAGGACGGAGUA
rnacentral:ncRNA from 1 species